GUAAAAAUAGUUUAAUGAUAAAACACUGAAUUGUGGCUUCAGAGAUAUUAAGAAAAUUUUUUACC
rnacentral:tRNA from 1 species